rnacentral:rRNA from 1 species
GACGAACGCUGGCGGCGCGCUUAACACAUGCAAGUCGAGCGAUGAGAUCUUGACAGAACCCUUCGGGGUGAAGAUAAGAUGGAUUAGCGGCGGACGGGUGAGUAACACGUGAGUAACCUGCCUUAGACAUUGGGAUAGCCUCGGGAAACCGGGAUUAAUACCAAAUGAAAUCACAUAUGCACAUGCAUAAAUGAUCAAAGCUCCGGCGGUCUAAGAUGGACUCGCGUCCCAUUAGCUAGUUGGUGAGGUAACGGCCCACCAAGGCGACGAUGGGUAGCCGGCCUGAGAGGGUGAACGGCCACAUUGGAACUGAGAAACGGUCCAAACUCCUACGGGAGGCAGCAGUGGGGAAUAUUGCACAAUGGAGGGAACUCUGAUGCAGCGACGCCGCGUGAACGAAGAAGGCUUUCGAGUCGUAAAGUUCUUUUAUAUGGGAAGAUAAUGACGGUACCAUAAGAAAAAGCCCCGGCUAACUACGUGCCAGCAGCCGCGGUAAUACGUAGGGGGCUAGCGUUGUCCGGAAUCACUGGGCGUAAAGGGUUCGCAGGCGGAAAUGCAAGUCAGGUGUAAAAGGCAGUAGCUUAACUACUGUAAGCAUUUGAAACUGCAUAUCUUGAGAAGAGUAGAGGUAAGUGGAAUUUUUAGUGUAGCGGUGAAAUGCGUAGAUAUUAAAAAGAAUACCGGUGGCGAAGGCGACUUACUGGGCUCAUUCUGACGCUGAGGAACGAAAGCGUGGGUAGCAAACAGG